rnacentral:rRNA from 1 species
CCUACGGGAGGCAGCAGUGGGGAAUUUUGGACAAUGGGCGCAAGCCUGAUCCAGCAAUGCCGCGUGAGUGAAGAAGGCCUUCGGGUUGUAAAGCUCUUUUGUCAGGGAAGAAACGGUGUCUCCUAAUACGGGACGCUAAUGACGGUACCUGAAGAAUAAGCACCGGCUAACUACGUGCCAGCAGCCGCGGUAAUACGUAGGGUGCAAGCGUUAAUCGGAAUUACUGGGCGUAAAGCGUGCGCAGGCGGUUUUGUAAGUCUGUCGUGAAAUCCCCGGGCUCAACCUGGGAAUGGCGAUGGAGACUGCAAGGCUAGAGUUUGGCAGAGGGGGGUAGAAUUCCACGUGUAGCAGUGAAAUGCGUAGAUAUGUGGAGGAACACCGAUGGCGAAGGCAGCCCCCUGGGUCAAGACUGACGCUCAUGCACGAAAGCGUGGGGAGCAAACAGGAUUAGAUACCCUGGUAGUCCACGCCCUAAACGAUGUCUACUAGUUGUCGGGUCUUAAUUGACUUGGUAACGCAGCUAACGCGUGAAGUAGACCGCCUGGGGAGUACGGUCGCAAGNUUAAAACGUCAAAUGAAUUGACGG